rnacentral:lncRNA from 1 species
GGACACUACUAUACACAAAGAUGAUUAAGCAACUGUUUGCGAGCUGGGGAUGUGUGAGAAAGGUAUCAGAAUCAAUCAAGAUAUUGUUUUCAGAUAACUUGGGUGAAAAGCCAUAAGCAAUAGCUAUGUGCCUGCAUAACUCCACAGAUGCGCAUGGGAAGAUGCAGGAGCCAGGCUACAAGACAGAUGGGUGAGUGGAGAUUCAAGACAGGAGUCCAUUCUUUUCCUUCAACCAGACUGAUAGAGGAGGUGAGCCGGUACCAGAUGAACACUGUCCACAUCAGUCUCGGCAUCACUCAAGGUUGUGUGGGAUCGUUCCUUGAGUGACUGGAUGAGAUCGAUAGGGAGUUCUGUCGCCAGAAAAGGGACACCUGCA